GUGGGGAAUCUUGCGCAAUGGGCGAAAGCCUGACGCAGCCAUGCCGCGUGGAUGAUGAAGGUCUUAGGAUUGUAAAAUCCUUUCACCGGUGAAGAUAAUGACUGUAGCCGGAGAAGAAGCCCCGGCUAACUUCGUGCCAGCAGCCGCGGUAAUACGAAGGGGGCUAGCGUUGCUCGGAUUUACUGGGCGUAAAGGGCGCGUAGGCGGACAUUUAAGUCAGGGGUGAAUUCCCGGGGUUCAACCUCGGAACUGACUUUGAUACUGGGUGUCUUGAGUAUGAGAGAGGUGUGUGGAACUCCGAGUGUAGAGGUGAAAUUCGUAGAUAUUCGGAAGAACACCAGUGGCGAAGGCGACACACUGGCUCAUUACUGACGCUGAGGCGCGAAAGCGUGGGGAGCAAACAGGAUUAGAAACCCGGGUAGUCC
rnacentral:rRNA from 1 species